AGCAGUGGGGAAUAUUGGACAAUGGGCGCAAGCCUGAUCCAGCAAUGCCGCGUGGAUGAAGAAGGUCUUCGGAUUGUAAAGUCCUUUCGGCGGGGACGAUGAUGACGGUACCCGCAGAAGAAGCCCCGGCUAACUUCGUGCCAGCAGCCGCGGUAAUACGAAGGGGGCUAGCGUUGCUCGGAAUGACUGGGCGUAAAGGGCGCGUAGGCGGAUUGAUCAGUCGGGCGUGAAAUUCCUGGGCUUAACCUGGGGGCUGCGUUCGAGACGGUUGGUCUAGAGUUUGGAAGAGGGUUGUGGAAUUCCCAGUGUAGAGGUGAAAUUCGUAGAUAUUGGGAAGAACACCGGUGGCGAAAGCGGCGACCUGGUCCUUGACUGACGCUGAGG
rnacentral:rRNA from 1 species